rnacentral:rRNA from 1 species
GGUAACGGCUCACCAAGGCGACGAUACAUAGGGGGACUGAGAGGUUAACCCCCCACACUGGUACUGAGACACGGACCAGACUCCUACGGGAGGCAGCAGUGAGGAAUAUUGGUCAAUGGACGCAAGUCUGAACCAGCCAUGCCGCGUGCAGGAUGACGGCUCUAUGAGUUGUAAACUGCUUUUGUACGAGGGUAAACGCAGAUACGUGUAUCUGUCUGAAAGUAUCGUACGAAUAAGGAUCGGCUAACUCCGUGCCAGCAGCCGCGGUAAUACGGAGGAUUCAAGCGUUAUCCGGAUUUAUUGGGUUUAAAGGGUGCGUAGGCGGUUUGAUAAGUUAGAGGUGAAAUUUCGGGGCUCAACCCUGAACGUGCCUCUAAUACUGUUGAGCUAGAGAGUAGUUGCGGUAGGCGGAAUGUAUGGUGUAGCGGUGAAAUGCUUAGAGAUCAUACAGAACACCGAUUGCGAAGGCAGCUUACCAAACUAUAUCUGACGUUGAGGCACGAAAGCGUGGGGAGCAAACAGGAUUAGAUACCCUGGUAGUCCACGCAGUAAACGAUGAUAACUCGUUGUCGGCGAUACACAGUCGGUGACUAAGCGAAAGCGAUAAGUUAUCCACCUGGGGAGUACGUUCGCAAGAAUGAAACUCAAAGGAAUUGACGGGGGCCCGCACAAGCGGAGGAACAUGUGGUUUAAUUCGAUGAUACGCGAGGAACCUUACCCGGGCUUGAAAGUUAGCGACGAUUCUUGAAAGAGGAUUUCCCUUCGGGGCGCGAAACUAGGUGCUGCAUGGUUGUCGUCAGCUCGUGCCGUGAGGUGUCGGGUUAAGUCCCAUAACGAGCGCAACCCCUACCGUUAGUUGCCAUCAGGUGAAGCUGGGCACUCUGGCGGGACUGCCGGUGUAAGCCGAGAGGAAGGUGGGGAUGACGUCAAAUCAGCACGGCCCUUACGUCCGGGGCUACACACGUGUUACAAUGGGGGGUACAGAAGGCAGCUACCUGGCGACGGGAUGCUAAUCCCAAAAACCUCUCUCAGUUCGGAUCGAAGUCUGCAACCCGACUUCGUGAAGCUGGAUUCGCUAGUAAUCGCGCAUCAGCCAUGGCGCGGUGAAUACGUU